rnacentral:rRNA from 1 species
CAGUAGGAUAGGCGAAGCGUGCUGUUGGAGUGCACGUCCAAGCAGUGAGAUUGAGUGUUAGGCAAAUCCGGCACUCUUAAGAUUGAGCUGUGAUGGGGAGAGGAACUUGUUCCUCGAGUCGUUGAUUUCACACUGCCGAGAAAAGCCUCUAGCUAGAAUAACGGUGCCCGUACCGCAAACCGACACAGGUAGUCAAGAUGAGAAUUCUAAGGUGAGCGAGCGAACUCUCGUUAAGGAACUCGGCAAAAUGACCCCGUAACUUCGGGAGAAGGGGUGCUCUUUGAGGUUCACGCUUCGAAGAGCCGCAGUGAAUAGGCCCAAGCGACUGUUUAUCAAAAACACAGGUCUCUGCUAAACCGUAAGGUGACGUAUAGGGGCUGACGCCUGCCCGGUGCUGGAAGGUUAAGAGGAGUGGUUAGCGCAAGCGAAGCUACGAAUCGAAGCCCCAGUAAACGGCGGCCGUAACUAUAACGGUCCUAAGGUAGCGAAAUUCCUUGUCGGGUAAGUUCCGACCCGCACGAAAGGCGUAACGAUUUGGGCACUGUCUCAACGAGAGACUCGGUGAAAUCAUAGUACCGGUGAAGAUGCCGGUUACCCGCGACAGGACGGAAAGACCCCGUGGAGCUUUACUGUAGCCUGAUAUUGAAAUUCGGUACAGUUUGUACAGGAUAGGUAGGAGCCUUAGAAGCGUGAGCGCUAGCUUACGUGGAGGCAUUGGUGGGAUACUACCCUAAUUGUAUUGGAUUUCUAACCCGCAGCACUUAUCGUGCUGGGAGACAGUGUCAGGCGGGCAGUUUGACUGGGGCGGUCGCCUCCUAAAGAGUAACGGAGGCGCUCAAAGGUUCCCUCAGAAUGGUUGGAAAUCAUUCAUAGAGUGUAAAGGCAUAAGGGAGCUUGACUGCGAGACCUACAAGUCGAGCAGGGUCGAAAGACGGACUUAGUGAUCCGGUGGUUCCGCAUGGAAGGGCCAUCGCUCAACGGAUAAAAGCUACCCCGGGGAUAACAGGCUUAUCUCCCCCAAGAGUUCACAUCGACGGGGAGGUUUGGCACCUCGAUGUCGGCUCAUCGCAUCCUGGGGCUGUAGUCGGUCCCAAGGGUUGGGCUGUUCGCCCAUUAAAGCGGUACGCGAGCUGGGUUCAGAACGUCGUGAGACAGUUCGGUCCCUAUCCGUCGUGGGCGUAGGAAAUUUGAGAGGAGCUGUCCUUAGUACGAGAGGACCGGGAUGGACAUACCUCUGGUGUACCAGUUGUCGUGCCAACGGCAUAGCUGGGUAGCUAUGUAUGGACGGGAUAAGUGCUGAAAGCAUCUAAGCAUGAAGCCCCCCUCGAGAUGAGAUUUCCCAACUUCGGUUAUAAGAUCCCUCAAAGAUGAUGAGGUGAAUAGGUUCGAGGUGGAAGCGUAGCGAUACGUGGAGCUGACGAAUACUA